rnacentral:rRNA from 1 species
AUUGAACGCUGGCGGCAGGCCUAACACAUGCAAGUCGAACGAGCGGCGGACGGGUGAGUAAUGUCUGGGAAACUGCCCGAUGGAGGGGGAUAACUACUGGAAACGGUAGCUAAUACCGCAUACUAUCGGAUGUGCCCAUAUGGGAUUAGAUAGUAGGUGGGGUAACGGCUCACCUAGGCGACGAUCCCUAGCUGGUCUGAGAGGAUGACCAGCCACACUGGGACUGAGACACGGUCCAGACUCCUACGGGAGGCAGCAGUGGGGAAUAUUGCACAAUGGGCGCAAGCCUGAUGCAGCCAUGCCGCGUGUAUGAAGAAGGCCUUCGGGUUGUAAAGUACUUUCAGCGGGGAGGCGUUACUCGCAGAAGAAGCACCGGCUAACUCCGUGCCAGCAGCCGCGGUAAUUC